UACGUAGGGUGCAAGCGUUGUCCGGAUUUAUUGGGUUUAAAGGGUGCGUAGGCGGCUCUUUAAGUCAGUGGUGAAAGCCGACAGCUUAACUGUCGAAAUGCCAUUGAUACUGGGGAGCUUGAGUACAGUAGAGGUAGGCGGAAUUAAUGGUGUAGCGGUGAAAUGCAUAGAUACCAUUAAGAACACCGAUUGCGAAGGCAGCUUACUAUAGUGUAACUGACGCUGAGGCACGAAAGUGUGGGGAUCAAACAGG
rnacentral:rRNA from 1 species